GGGCGAAUGGUCUAGGGGUAUGAUACUCCCUUCGCAUCAGUCAGAUUAGCGUCUGGGAGGGGUCCGGGGUUCAAUUCCCCGUUCGUCCA
rnacentral:tRNA from 1 species